rnacentral:tRNA from 1 species
GCGGGUGUCGUAUAAUGGUAUUACUCCAGCCUUCCAAGCUGAUAACGCGGGUCCGAUUCCCGCCACCCGCUCCA